GGCGCGGAGUGUGUGCGCGGCGGCCCGCGGUGCUUCGGCGGCGGCAGCGCUCUGGCCGCCGGGCGGGGGAGGAGGUGCUAGACUCCGGCGCCGCUUGCCGGCAACGAGGAGGAGCGGAGCGGCUAGCGAGGCGGCCGGAGGAGGAAGGAAGGAAGGAAGGAAGGCAGGCAGGCAGGCAGGCAGGGGCGGGGGAGCAGCGGCGCUCGGUCGGCCCCGCAGCGCUGCCGCCGCCACCUCCACCACUUCCCCGCUGGGCGCUAGCCUGCCCGGGAAACCGAUCCGCUCCCUGAAACUCUCGGCUCGCCUCUCGCCGCUGCGGCGGCAGGGUCUCGGCAGGGCUCUCCGCCCCGGCGCAGCGAGCGAGCGAGCGGGCGGGGGGGGGGGGGGGUAACUUCUCGCACUUCUCCGGAGAGGACUUGGGGCUGCCCCGCGCCGGCGGCGGCGGCGCCUGGGGUCCCCGCCGCCCGCCGCGGCGGGAGAACUUUCCCCUCCGAGCGCGGGGCGGCGAGUGGGGCCCGGGAGCGCCGGCCGCGGCGGGAGGAGCGCGGCGGCGGCGGCGGGGCCGGCCCGGCGGCCGCGGAGAUGAAGCUGAGCCGGCAGUUCACGGUGUUCGGCAGCGCGGUCUUCUGCGUGGUGAUCUUCUCCCUCUACCUGAUGCUGGACCGUGGCCACUUCGACCACCCGAAGAGCCCCCGGCGGGAGGGCACCUUCCCCAAGGGCCAGCUUUCAAUACUGCAAGAAAAAAUAGAUCACUUAGAACGCCUGUUGGCAGAAAAUAAUGAGAUUAUUUCAAACAUACGAGAUUCUGUGAUCAAUCUGAGUGAAUCAGUAAAGGAUGGUCAAAAAAAUCCAGAGGCUAUAAACUUCAGUCAAGGAUCUGUCUCUGAGCUCUUUCCUUCUGCUUCAGUUUUGCUUGCAGUUGAUUCUGAGGAUUGUUUGUUUGCUUCAAAAAGUGGAACUCAUGGUUCAGGUGUACAGAUGUUGGAUGUCUAUGACAUUCUUCCUUUCGAUAAUCCAGAUGGUGGCGUGUGGAAACAAGGAUUCGAUAUCACAUACAAUGAAAACGAAUGGGACAGUGAACCACUUCAAGUUUUUGUCGUGCCUCACUCACAUAAUGACCCAGGUUGGCUGAAGACUUUUGAUGAUUACUUCAGAGAUCAGACACAGCAUAUCUUAAAUAAUAUGGUUAUAAAACUGCAAGAAGACAAGCGAAGGAAAUUUAUGUGGUCUGAGAUUUCUUACUUUUCAAAAUGGUGGGAUGGAAUAGAUAGCCAAAAAAAGGAUGCUGUUAAAAGGUUAAUAAAAGAUGGACAAUUUGAAAUAGUAACAGGAGGAUGGGUCAUGCCUGAUGAAGCCUCUCCUCAUUAUUUUGCUUUAAUUGACCAACUGAUAGAAGGACAUCAAUGGCUAGAAAAGAACCUUGGAGUAAAACCAAAGUCUGGAUGGGCAAUUGAUCCUUUUGGGCAUUCACCAACAAUGGCCUACCUUCUGAAACGCACGGGAUUUUCCAAUAUGCUUAUACAAAGAGUUCAUUAUUCAGUUAAAAAACAUUUUGCAAUGCAGAAGACACUGGAAUUUUUUUGGAGACAGAACUGGGAUUUGGGAUCCAGUACAGAUAUCCUUUGUCAUAUGAUGCCUUUCUAUAGCUAUGAUGUUCCUCAUACUUGUGGUCCAGAUCCAAAAAUCUGCUGCCAGUUUGAUUUCAAACGUCUUCCCGGGGGAAGAGUAAGCUGUCCAUGGAGAGUUCCACCAGAAGCCAUUCACGCUGGAAAUGUUCAACACAGGGCUUGGAUGAUUUUAGAUCAAUACAGAAAGAAGUCAAAGCUUUUCCGUACUAAAGUUCUGUUGGCUCCACUAGGGGAUGAUUUCCGCUAUGCUGAGAGCUCAGAAUGGGAUCAACAGUACCAGAAUUAUCAGAAGCUGUUUGACUAUAUGAAUUCUCAUCCUGAGUGGCAUGUUAAGGCCCAGUUUGGAACCUUAUCAGAUUACUUUGAAGCUCUGCGCAAAGAAAGCAAUUUGGGUGAAAGGAGGAGCAAUUCAUUUUUCCCUGUUUUAAGUGGAGACUUCUUCACCUAUGCAGACAGAGAUCAUCAUUACUGGAGUGGAUACUUUACAUCACGACCCUUCUAUAAACGACUGGAUAGAGUCCUGGAAUCCUACUUACGGGCAGCUGAAAUCCUCUACUCCUUGGCUUUAGUACAGUCCAGUAAAUCUGAGAAGAUGAGUGUAUUUCCUUCAGUGGAUAACUAUAAAUUGCUAACAGAAGCUAGGAGGAACCUUGGACUCUUUCAGCAUCAUGAUGCUAUUACAGGAACAUCUAAAGAUUGGGUAGUUGUGGAUUAUGGCACUAGACUUUUCCACUCAAUAAUGAACUUGAAGAAAGUGAUAAUUGACUCUGCUCAUAUUCUUAUCCUGAAGGAUAAAGGUGCUUAUAAUUAUGACACAUCAACUCCAUUCCUGAAGAUGGAUGGUGUUCAGUCUUCCCAAGAUUCUUUGCCACACAAGACAGUUAUAAAGCUGACAUCGCAACCAAGGUACCUUUUGAUAUAUAAUCCUACAGAACAAGAGCGAUUUUCAGUCGUUUCAGUCAAUGUCAAUUCACCCAGAGUUAAAUUAUUAUCUCCUUUGGGAAAACCUGUUGUUAUCCAGAUUAGUGCUGUUUGGGAUGGAGCAACUACAGUAUCACAUGAAGCAUAUCAGGUCUCUUUCGUCGCGCAUCUACCACCUCUGGGGAUUGGAGUUUACCAGCUUUUGGAGGUUCAGAGUUCAGAAGCAGUUUUAACAGACUAUAAUAUAUACAUGAGGAAUAGUAGGCAGGAGAAGCCAGACAAACUUUUCAAGAUAAAAGAGAUGCAGCAUUCUGUGGAUAAUAUAAUAUUAGAAAAUUCUUACAUGAAACUGUGGUUUUCUGGAAUGUCUGGAUUACUGGAGAAAAUAAAUACCAAAGAAGAUGGUAAAAAUCAUCAAAUGAAGGUGGAGUUUGCUUGGUAUGGAACUACAAGUAACCGAGAUAAAAGUGGAGCUUAUCUCUUCUUACCAGAUGGAGACGCCAAGCCUUAUAUUUUUACAGAUCCACCUACCAUACGAGUUGCUCAUGGAAGGAUUUUCUCAGAAGUUGUAUGUUUUUUCCACCAUGUGACACAUACCAUGCGACUGUAUAAAGUCCAGGGUUUGGAAGGCCCAUCUCUUGAAGUUUCCAACAUUGUGGAUAUUAGAGGAGAAUACAAUCGUGAGCUUGCGAUGAGAAUUUCAUCUGACAUAAACAGUCAGAAUAGAUUCUAUACUGAUCUUAAUGGAUAUCAGAUUCAGCCCAGACUGACGAUGAGCAAAUUGCCUCUUCAAGCAAAUAUCUAUCCUAUGACUACAAUGGCUUAUAUCCAAGAUGUUGGCGUUCGUUUGACACUUCAUUCAGCUCAGUCUCUAGGUGUUGCAAGCUUGAAAAAUGGUCAGUUGGAAGUGAUCAUGGAUCGUCGUCUUAUGCAGGAUGACAACCGUGGCCUUGGACAAGGUGUCCAAGAUAACAAGAUUACAGCUAAUAUCUUCCGGCUUCUGCUGGAAAGAAGACAUGGAACAGAUGUGGAAGGCCUUACUCAUUCCUGCUGCAAGCUCUGGUGGUACGGCAGAAUCCUUCUUAAAGGAGGGAGAAAGGCUGCAAGUUCCGCUGCUGCUGCUUCUUGUAUUCUCAAGUGAAAUAACUCUGGAGGGGCAAUCUCCUUGCACGUGGAACAAGCAGUUUCCAUCAGCAGCAAGAACUUCACAUGAGCAGCAUAAUUCCAAUGCAGAUAGCUUCUCUGGAGGACAAAAAUCAGGAGAUAUCAUUGCAUAGUUUCUGUCUUUAGCAUCAGUUUGGUUACCUACUUCCUCAUCAAAGCAGAACUCCAGAAAAUUUCUGAUCACUGUGUUCUGCCAUCGUCGGGAACAGGAUAUGCUCUUCCCAGUCAACAGGAAACAAAAUCUAGCACUGUGUCCUUUCCAUGACUCCAGUAUGGGUUAUUUGUUUAGGCAUUAAGUCCCUCCUCCUUCCUCCUGCACCAUUAUAGAACAAUAUAAAAACUGUAAGAAGAAUUAGAAGAGAAGAAAUAAAAUCAGUGGGAGAGGCAGCUAUAACUAAAGUAUAAAAUACUUUUAUUGUUGAGACAAGCAUGUCAUGCUGUCUAUCUGCUUUUGUAGUUUUAUCCAACUAUACUGAUGGCUGCAUAUUUGUCAGCCUCAGUAAUUAUGGUGGUGAGCUUAUGGUUAUGGUGACUAGUUACUUUCUUUGCUAUCUGCGCUCUUCUGUAGACAAGCGAGCAGCUGUUCUUCAAAUUAUCUGUUUAUAGAACUUGACUGCUAUUAUGGCAUCUGAAUAAAGACUAACUAAAUUAAACGCCAGGACCUGACAGUCAUCGAGGGAACAGUGAUAGGUGAAGGAAGUGAAGGAACCUGACCAGGAAGGAGUGGAACUGCUGAACUGGCUGCUCAUGAGACCAUGAAGGGAAGAAGAUUAGAUUGUUCCUGGUGUGAAACCCAACAAGACAACUCAGCAGAAAUCAGUUCAUGCAGACUAAGGGCAUUAUUGCCUACAGGGGUCCAGGACUUACAGGAUUUGGAGGAGGGAGAGAAUUUUAGAUUUGUUUUGGGGGAAAAAAAAAAAGAAAAAAAAUUAAGAGGCUUGUUAUGGGUUGUUCAGUGGAAGGGACAUAGGAGGUGAAAGAGAAGGAUCAAGGAGGAACAAGUGGGAAAAAGAGGGGCAAAAAGGGUGUAAAAGGGUCUGAUCAAGUCCAGUGCUUGAUCACCACAGCCUAUCCUGUAUUCUUAUUAAAUCUGGUUUCUGUGUGAGUGCACAACCUUUUUUGAAUCUGUGUGAGCCGUUAGCCAACUUCAGGAAAGACUAGGAAGCAAGUAGAAUAAGAGUUCUGGGUGUCAGCUAUUGGAGAGAGAGAGGCCAUGGGAUGAAGGCACCAGUGCAACUGGCUGCCAUUUGCUGGCAAGACCUAUUUUUAAUGUGUGUGCAUAUAAACUGCUAACAAACUUCAAGCUGACAGGUAGGGGCCCGCAUCUGGAAGGAUGUGAAGUCUGAGCUGGUGAAUGGUUGAGAGGCCUGAGGUCCAGGCCUGGAUGUCAGACAGACAUAAAGUCCACCCUGAUUUUUGAGGGAUCAGUGAUUGUUGAGUGUACUUGUGAAUCAAGAAAGUGAGGGUCUUUGUCUGAUGAACUUCAGACCUGAUCAGCUGGAGGGCACAGUCAGGGUUCUGCUCAUGUUACCCAAGAGCUCUGUGUUUAUGUGGGUGCUGGUAAAGGUGCUGCUCUCUACUCACUUGUAUGGCUGGCUGUGUGUGUGUGCACGCCUAUUGGGAAUACAUGCUCUGCCUUUCUCCUGCCUGGUCUUGGAGGAGCAGAACCACAGCAGGCUCCCAUCUAUCAACAUGGGAUGAGAGGAGACCCCUUGGUCUUAGAGACUACCAAAUUUAGCUCUAGCAGACUGGGAAGAACAGUGGGUCCAAAUUUCCCUGGAUUUGGUUCCCUGAAGCAGUCCCAGGUUUCCUCACCUGCAGUCUCAGUGCCAGCUAAGAAUUCACAGGCAGUACAGAAACUCUGUGGUGACUUUAGAGUCACUCUGAACCAACUCACAGCCUCAUGGAUAUUUUACAGUGCCUCAGAAUUUUCAUUUAUUCUAUAAUCAGCCUCCGGGUAACCCUUUCACCUAGUGUGGCAGAAAUGCGUUUCCAGUGUAACAGCCUCCAAGUGAAUUGAUAGAAAAUUUUCCAUUCCCUGAGGUAAAGAGGUAAUACCAGUUUUUGUCUGCUCAGUUGAGUCCUCCUUUGCUGGUCACUUCAGCAGCUAUCAAAAAACCCUAAGCAUUCCAGAUCAUGAUUCUCAAUAAAGGACUUAAAACAUAUUGCCAAAAGAAUUUAUGCUUUGAUGUGCAAAACUGUGACAUAACUGAUGAAUAUUUCAGUGUUGACAAAUGUGUAUAUGUGAACAAUUCUGACAGAUCUAAUCCUUAUAUUUUUCAGGAUUUUUGCUCCCCAGGAUUUCAGGAAGGACUGAUGGUCUAGUAUAGCAGAAAAUAAUCUGCCAUCUGUAUUCUUGUUUAUAGUCUUGGUGAGAUUUCAGGAUAGCUGCCUGUUCAGUACUCACAUUUGUGGCUGUUACUUUUGGUUGCAAUUUAUCCAGGCCUCCCUAAAAGUCUAAUUCAUUGUAGAGGACCUGCUUUUUUACAGAGAUUACCUGAAGAUUGUUCUGCUGAAGAUUCUUGGGCAGCUUUGAGGUCUUAGGUGUUCUGAAUCCCACUGCUUAGAGAAAAUCUUCCUAUCACCCUGUUUGAUUUCCAUACAAAAUUCUCUCUACAACCACCAGCCAGUCUGAAAGCUGCUUGAAGUGAUGGUCAGUGUUUUCUUUGACACAUGGUUGCAUCAGCAUUGCACUCUUGGACACUGGAAAGGAAUUAUUCACCUCAGAACAAUUUAACCAAAUUUCAUCAGUGACUAAUGGCUAUUUGUUGCAUUAUGGGUGUAAGCCCUGUUACUGACUAUCCUUCUCUCCUUCUCAAAAGCACUAGGAGUUUUUACAGGCACACAAAAAUCUAGCUCCAGACAUUGAUCUUAGAAGAAAGAGAAUGAUACAUCCAUAUCUAGAGGACUUUCAGAACUUGUCAGACUGAUUAUUCUUUUUGUAUUGCAAUGUGCAACUUUGGAUGAAUUUAAAGCAAGUGGAUCUGAUUUUCACUUGGUGAGGUUAACAGCCAGGCAGUCUUGUGUGUAAAGCCUGCAACUAAGUUGAAACCAUUUACUGUUUGAUGUCAGUUUCAUGAAUUUGACUAGUACAAGGCCCAGAUAAAAUCUGAAUUACUCUUCCAAGUUGGGAGCUUUAGGGCAAUGUGUGUGCAAGAGUGUUGUGUAAUUUUCUCACUCUCUUCCGGUUUAUAGACACCUCCUUCCUCAAGUGGGGAGUACUCUACAUAGUAAAGGAUUCAAGAUGUUUGCAUUUGGGGAAGAAUGUAUGUAGUUUAAAGCUAAGGCAUCUGUCCAUACCGGUCACUUAUUUUUGUCAUGUGUUGUAAAACUGCAUAUUCACAUAGUCAACGAUUGUUGUCUGCCAUUUGUUUCUCACCUGUAAGCAGGCUAUCACAGUAUUACCCAACCAGUUUCUCAUGUAGAAGCAGCUUCUCAUGAAACAUGCAGAUGGAUUGUCAAUCUUUGGAUUGUACAGAAAGGAACAAAUUUUUCUUUCCAUGUUUGUCUUUGGGAACCUUUAGGUUCUUUGGCUGACCAUGUCAGUUGCUGUCAGUUGCCAGAUUAUGAUGGAGAGAUAUUUAAUAAUAUUGUCUCCCUAUGUUUCGGACUAGAGAUGCUCUGAAGAGUCUUUUUACUCCACGGAUUAGAUUUUCCAGUCCAGAAACAUUCUUCUUUGAAGAGUGCUGCCAGUUGGUUUUCUGAACGCGUGGCAGAGAAAGUUGAUAAAAAUUGUUUCCUCACACAACAUAAGCGUGAGUGAGAGACUUUUUUCUUCCAGGAAUAGUCCAGGUGGUUUGGUAUCAGACUAUUUUAAUCUGCAUCCCUUGAUUUAGCAGGCCCAGAAUUCUAUCUGUUUCCAGCUUCUAUUUGAAUGCACUGACAUCCAAAGUCAGCAUCCACAUUUCAGGAUGUUUGAUCAGAUAGUUUGGAUGCUGGUGGGGUUUUGGAGUUAUAAUUAAAUUUCUUUCCUGACUAGGGUUCUUCACAGCAGAGAACAGUCUAGAGAAGGAGUAAAUAGUAAAGAUUUGUGAUUUGAUAUUCUGCCUGCCUCAGUUUCCUUUCCUCACUUUCGUAUGGGAAAUUUUAGACUACUUGUCUGUGUUGAAAGUUAUUUGUUUCUCUCUUAGCUCAACUGAAGUCCAAUUAUCAACAGCUUCAGCUUUACUUUCUUCUUUACAGUAUUUUCCAUUUCUUUUUCCAUUCAAUAACUAAGUGAUUUCUGAAGAGUCUAAUUAGUGUUUUUCCUCUCUAAUUAAGGACCUCAGUUCCUCAGUUUAAACUCUUACCAGAAAACCCUUUGAGUCUUUUCUUAAUCUGUUCCAUCCGCCGUUUAUUGAUAAAAUAGCUCAUUUCUGAUAUAAGGGCACUUUUGACAGAUGAGGCCAUUCUUAGAACUUGUUGCAAAUUGUAACCUAAGGUUAUACUGGAGUGUGGUUUGUUUGUUUGUUUUUUUCUCAAAACUAAAAGUUUAGAAUUAUUCACCUUACUUUUGAUGACAAGGAAAGAUCCUAUGUGAGGAUUUGUUUACAUCUAUUGCACAGUGAUUCAAGGAGUUGUAUUUCAACACAGUUUCUAAUUGGAUAACUGUAUAUGAAUGUGCUGUAAGGUAGUUAAAAAAAGCAGUAUUUGCUUUGAUUAGAGCUCAUUAAGCCAGCACUCAGCUAUAUCAGUGGCAUUCAUCAGAAUCUUGCCAGUGCGUAAUGUUUGUAAGGCUGCCAGUGGAGCUUCAUUCACACUUUGAGUGCUAAACACUGUCAUUGAAGUUGAGGAAAUAAUGCCACUUUUGAGAGAGCAGUACCUUAAUUAGAUGGAGACUGUGGGACUAUGUCUUCUGACUUAGCAUCAGCAGAGUACUGCUGAAAGCCGCCCACACAGUGAAUGUGUGUAUAGAGUAUUGUUCCAAAUGUGUUGUCUGUACAUGCAAACCCUUCCCAUCUCUCUUUCCCCAGAGUCCUGUUUAAAUUUUGGAUCACUAGAUUGGGAGGGGAAGGAUAUACUCCAAUCCUUUCAUGACUGUGAGGUACCUAGGGUGGAGUGGGAUUUGAAGUGUCCCUUCUGGAUCUUCUGUGAUAGCAUUGUCUUCACAGUGUUUGAAAAACUCUUUUUCCCUUGGUCUCCUGGCAGCUUUUACACCUGCUGUAUUCUCCAUUCCCAUUGCUAUUACAUAGAUUGACUGAAUGACUGUACUUCUGUUGGUGCAGUCAUCCAAAACUGACUGUGGUUCCAGAUGUGGGAAUACACGAUUCAAGAUAAAAUCUCCACCUAAGACUUAGUGCAGCUUUUCAAAUUUUCAAAGUGGAUAAUGCUUAAGUACAAUGCUUAUGCCCAUGAUAAAACAUCCAAACACAGUGGGAGCAGAACUGAGCUGAGUUGGAGCAGAACUGAGCUGAAUUGAAUCAGCUCUGGCUCUAGCAUUUGCCAGAAUCCUUCAAGACUGUGUUUCUCUGCAAUCCUCAGUUAUUUCCAGAAUCUAGGAAUUGAGGAGCCGCUCUUUAUGGUUCUGCUACAGGUUACAUAGGGAUUUUGUCCCACUGCGCAUUAAUAGUAAAUGAUUCUUUCCCUCCCACAUUCUUCUUCAAAGUUUCCAGUGUCUUUCCUUCCAUCUUUCCUGGUUUCUCAACUGCGAUAUAUGUUACUGCAUCUUUAUAUUAAAAACACUGGUUUUUAUUCUCAUUACUUCUGUUAGCCUUAGAGAAAGCUUUGAAGGAUUCUGUCCUAGAAGAUUGACCUGCCCAGUGCUACCUUUUCCUAGACAAGGCUGAGGAUUCAUCUGAUAUUUUUACCAUGGGCUAUUUUUUACUUUCAUGUCAGCCAAUAUACAAACUUGCCUCCCAUUUUUUCCUGUACUGCUGAUCUCUGGGAUUUGGGCAAGGUUUUGACUCAUGGAUAUCAUGCUUGUGUUUAUGUAAACAGUAUUUUUCUGUACAUGGAACAGAAGCCUUCAGAAAGGUCUCAUGUCUCUUCCUCUCAAAUGACCUUGGUGGGAUUUUCAGAGGAACAUCUGUUUCUGAAAUUAUGAGGACAUCUAAAUGAGUUCUGUUUGUUUUCAGCAAGCACUGUACUUCCAGGCAUUAAGUUGCACUUAGUAGAAUGAUUUUUCAGUCACUCUUCCCAUAAGAAACUGUGGCCCUUCUCCAAAAUGAAGAGAAGGCAUCAGUCAGUUUUCCCUCACUAUUUAGCCAUAUGACUUCUUCUUUCUUAAAUCAUCCUGUAAUUCUAAUG